AGUUCCUCUUCGGUGAAUAACCUUACAGGUUUUGUGGACGCUUUGUACUUUAACUUGUCAGCUAAAGUCACGUUUAAUAGCGCCACAAUCAGCACGAAGGCACCACCGGUUGUUGCUGUUGCCAUGGCAAUCACCUUGACCUCCUGCCAGUAGGGCCCCCCUCUGGUGUACAGGAAAUAGUGAUAAAAGUCGUCUUUUUGGUGGGAGAAGUAGGUCUCCGUGGCAAUGUUGAUCAUCCACGGCCGGCCGUCGCCUCGCACGCGCAGGUGCAGAGUGUUGAAGCUGGACCAGUCGUAGUGCUUCUUUCGGUCAAACGAUGCCUUGGGACAGAUGUAAUUAUCAUGUUCAGAAUACUAAUAAACGGCGGAUACAUU